rnacentral:rRNA from 1 species
GAGGGGCAGCGCGGAGGUAGCAAUACCUUUGGCGGCGACCGGCGCACGGGUGCGUAACACGUAUGCAACCUGCCCUGCAUUGGGGGAUAACCCGGAGAAAUCCGGACUAAUACUCCAUGGUGAUGACAGGAGGCAUCUUCGGUCAUCUAAAGAUUGAUUGAUGCAGGAUGGGCAUGCGGAUGAUUAGCUGGUUGGUGAGGUAACGGCCCACCAAGGCGACGAUCAUUAGGGGUUCUGAGAGGAAGGUCCCCCACAUUGGUACUGAGACACGGACCAAACUCCUACGGGAGGCAGCAUUGAGGAAUAUUGGUCAAUGGGCGAGAGCCUGAACCAGCCAAGUCGCGUGAGGGAAGACGGCCCUAUGGGUUGUAAACCUCUUUUGCCGGGUGAUAAAGUCUGGGAUGCGUCCCACUUUGCAGGUACCCGGUGAAUAAGGUUCGGCUAACUCCGUGCCAGCAGCCGCGGUAAUACGGAGGAUCCGAGUGUUAUCCGGAUUUAUUGCGUUUAAAGGGUGCGCAGGUGGUGGAUUUAGUCCUGGUGAAAUGGUGCCGCUCAACCGCAGCAUUGCAGUUGAAACUAGUUUCAAUUGAGUGAGAACGAGGCAGGCGGAAUUGUGUUGUGUAGCGGUGAGAUGCAUAGAUAUGACACAGAACACCGAUUGUGAAGGCAGCCUGGCAGGCCGCAACUGACGUUGAGGCGCGAAAGUGCGGGGAUCGAACAGGAUUAGAUACCAUGGUAGUCCGCACAGUAAACGAUGAGUGCUAGCCAUUGGCGAUAUAAGGUCAGGGGCCAAGUGAAAACGAUAAGCACUCCACCUGGGGAGUACGUUCGCAAGAAUGAAACUCAAAGGAAUUGACGGGGGCCCGCACAAGCGGAGGAACAUGUGGUUUAAUUCGAUGAUACGCGAGGAACCUUACCCGGGCUUGAAAUCAGUAUGACGUGACCGGAGACGGUCAUUCCAGCAAUGGCAUAUUGGUAGGUGCUGCAUGGUUGUCGUCAGCUCGUGCCGUGAGGUGUCGGCUUAAGUGCCAUAACGAGCGCAACCCUUGCCGACAGUUGCCAUCAUCAGGUUGGGGACUCUGUCGGGACUGCCACCGCAAGGUGAGAGGAAGGUGGGGAUGACGUCAAAUCAGCACGGCCCUUACGUCCGGGGCGACACACGUGUUACAAUGGGGGGGACAGAAGGCAGCGACCUGGCGACAGGGAGCGAAUCCCGAAACCCCUUCUCAGUUCGGAUCGGAGUCUGCAACUCGACUCCGUGAAGCUGGAUUCGCUAGUAAUCGCGCAUCAGCCAUGGCGCGGUGAAUACGUUCCCGGGCC